rnacentral:rRNA from 1 species
AGAGUUAAACAGUACGUGAAAUUGUUGAAAGGGAAACGAUUGAAGCCAGUCGUGCCGGCGGAAAAUCAACUUAUAGGCUACUAUGAGUGCACUUUUUCGCAAGGCAGGUUAGCAUCGAUUUUAGUUUUGCGUUAAAAUGAUCGUGGGAAGGUAGCUCUCUCGAGAGUGUUAUAGCCCGUGGUAGAUGACGUGACUGAGAUCGAGGAUUGCAGCGAAUGCCUUUUGGCUACGUGUCUGGUCUCUGAACAAUUGUCAAUUCGUCGACAGCUUGCUGACGUACGAGUUGAUGAUUCUCAAAAGAUUCAGAAUACGUUAAAUUCGCUAAGGAUGUUGACGUAAUGGCUUUAAACGACC